rnacentral:lncRNA from 1 species
GCCUUAUCCUCCUCCUCCCUCCCACUCCUUCUCCUCCUCUCUCCCACUCCUUCUCCUCCUCCUUCUCCUCCUCACUCCCACUCCUCCCCCUUAUCAUUCUCCUCAUCCUUCUCCUCCUCCUCCUCCUCCUCCUCCUCAGUUCCAUUAGCCCAUCUCUAUGACGUUCCGAGCUAGCGCUUCCUGGCGGAAUGUUAGUUUCUCCUAAAUAAAGGUGGGGAGCGGCAGCAAUCUAUCUCUGAGAGGCUUAUGGUAGCAAUGGCUGGACGGGCUAUGAGGUUGAACAAACCUCUGAAAGGAACUAACAGAUGAGAUAUUAAAGGAGGGAGUAUUGGAAGAAAGGAGGAGUAGAAGAGAGGAGGGGAGAACGAGAGUGAGUUUAGCUUUUCCCUUGACUGUGAGUGUAAAUGCUGUCAGUCUUCAUAACUAUUCUCAUAUAUCUACUAGAGGCGUCUGUAUGCCUGGGUCCUCUGCAUAACAAGUAGAAUCAGUACUGUAUCUCCCCAGCCUAAUGCUAGGCUAUCACUACAUAUAUCUCACUCUCUGUUUUACAUUUGUCUAUUGUCCACACGUGCGUGCGUGCGUGCGUGUGUGUGUGUGUGUGUCAUACCAGUAUGUCUCCGGUUCAGUGUGUUAGGGUGUAAGGGUAUUAGUGAGCAUGUAUCAUGUGUAGUCAUGCGUAGUUUACCUGUGAGAGGGACCCUGUUUCCAUGUACACUGAGAAAAAAAAAUAAAGGUUCUUAUAUGGUUCUUCUUCAGCCCUUAAGGUUCCUUGGAGAGCUCUUGCCCGAUAAAGAACCUUUGAGUUAAGUGUGGGGUUCUUGACGUUCUUCAGAAUUCUAAAAGGUUCUUGAAAUGUAUGGAAGCCUGCAGAUGUGUCCCUUUCAUAGAUGUGUCCCUUGCAGAGACCUCCAAGAUGGCGUAGCAGUUAGACGUCUUUGUCUUUGUCCUGUCGUGUCCCUUGUAUAUAUCUUUUUACAUCUUUUUCUUUGCAUAUCUUUUUAAAAUAUUUUCCUAAACCUCCACUUCUAAAUACUCUCCUGCAACCCGCCUCACCCAAUGUGGCGUGGAUCAGUUUUUUUUCUAAAGUAUUUGUAUUUACUUCGGAUCUGGAAUCCCUCAACUGAAGCUAGCCAGCUAACUACCUACCAGCUAUCAGUCAGCAAACCAUUGCUAGCGGUCAUCAGCUAACCUUUAGCUCGGAAAGCUCUCGCCAGUUCGAACAACGUGACUCAAACCAGAGCAUAACGGACCUAUUACCAUUUGUAUUUUUUCCCCCAUAUCCCCGGAUUCCUACCGCAAACUCUGAAUAUUUUAAUCUGGAUCUUUGCAACUAGCUAACCGCAAUCCCGGGUGACUACUCAUGGCUAGCGUUUCCAUCCCGGAGCAAGCACCAAUUAGCCUGAAGAUAGCCCGGCCAGGGCUCCUGUGCUACCACCGAAGCCCACUCCUGGGCUACAAUAUCCGGACCCCUUCUACUGCCGGUAUGGGGCAUGGAACACCGCCAAUCCUCUACGACUGAAAUACCGACAUAAUCUGCCCGAGGAUUCCAACAGGCCCCUCAGGCGCGACGUCCACUGAAGGCCCAUUCUGCUAACCACAGCCUACUAGCUACCUAGAGCUACUUGGAACCCUACUAAUUCCACGACUGCUCCAUCGACGUCACCGCACGAAGAGGCAAAAACAGACUUACCCCCAUCGCGACAUCCCCCAAAUUCUAACUUGCUAGCCCCGGUCUCUUAACUGCUAGCUUGCGUGCCCCGGUCUCCUAACUGCUAGCUUGCCUGCCCCGGUCUGCUAACUGCUAGCCCCGGUCUGCCAACUGCUUGCUUGCUAACCCGGUCUGCUAACUGCUAGCUUGCCAGCCCCGGUCUGCUAACUGCUAGCUUGUUUAGCCCCGGCCUACUAACUGUUAGCUUGUUAGCAUCAGCCUGCUAACUGUCUGAAUCGCCGUGUCCCCAGUCAGCCCAACCACUCACUGGAUCCAUAUGUUCACUUGGCUACGCAUGCCUCUCUCUAAUAUCAAUAUGCCUCGUCCAUUACUGUCCUAGUUAGUGAUUACUGUCUUAUUUCACUGUAGAGCCUCUAGCCCUGCUCAAUAUGCCUUAACUAACCAUGUUAUUCCACCUCCUACAUAUGCGAUGACAUCACCUGGUUUAAACGUCUCUAGAGACUAUAUCUCUCUCAUCAUUACGCAAUGCCAAGGUUUACCUCCAAUGUUCUCGCAUCCUACCUUACCUUUGUCUGGACAAUAUGCCUUGAAUCUAUGCUAUCGUGCCCAGAAACCUGCUCCUUUUACUCUCUGUUCCGAACGUGCUAGACGGCCAGUUCAUAUAGCCUUUAGCCGUACCCUUAUCCUACUUCUCCUCUGUUCCUCUGGUGAUGUGGAGGUUAAUCCAGAUCCUGCAGUGCCUAGCUCCACUCCCACUCCCCAGGUGCUCUCAUUUGUUGACUUCUGUAACCGUAAAAGCCUUGGUUUCAUGCAUGUUAACAUUAGAAGCCUACUCCCUAAGUUUGUUUUGCUCACUGGUUUAGCACACUCUGCCAACCCGGAUGUCUUAGCUGUGUCUGAAUCCUGGCUUAGGAAAACCACCAAAACCCCUGCAAUCUCCAUCCCUAACUAUAACAUUUUCCGCCAAGAUAGAACUGCCAAAGGGGGCGGUGUUGCAAUUUACUGCAGAGAUAGCCUGCAGAGUUCUGUAUUACUAUCUAAGUCUGUACCCAAACAAUUCAAGCUUCUACUUCUAAAAAUUCACCUUUCCAGAAACAAGUCUCUCACUGUUGCCACUUGCUAUAGACCUCCCUCUGCCCCUAGCUGUGCCCUCAAUACCACAUGUGAAUUGAUUGCCCCCCAUCUAUCUUCUGAGCUCGUGCUACUAGGUGACCUAAACUGGGACAUGCUUAACACCCCGGCCAUCCUACAAUCUAAGCUUGAUGCCCUCAAUCUCACACAAAUUAUCAAUGAACCUACCAGGUACAACCCCAAAUCCAUAAACACGGGCACCUUCAUAGAUGUCAUCCUAACUAACUCGCCCUCCAAAUACACCUCUGCUGUUUUCAAUCAAGAUCUCAGCGAUCACUGCCUCAUUGCCUGCAUCCGUAAUGGGUCUGCGACCAAACGACCACCCCUCAUCACUGUCAAACGCUCCCUAAAACACUUCUGCGAGCAGGCCUUUCUAAUCGACCUGGCCGGGGUAUCCUGGAAUGACAUUGACCUCAUCCCGUCAGUAGAUGAUGCCAGGCUAUUAUUUAAAAGUGCCUUGCUCACCAUCUUAAAUGAGCAUGCCCCACUCCAAAAAAAAUGAACUAGGAAUAGAUAUAGUCCUUGGUUCACUCCAGACCUGUCUGCCCUUGACCAGCACAAAAACAUCCUGUGGCGUUCUACAUUAGCAUCGAAUAGCCCCCGUGAUAUGCAACUUUUCAGGAAAGUUAGGAACAAAUAUACACAGGAAGUUAGAAAAGCUAAGGCUAGCUUUUACAAACAGAAAUGUGCAUCCUGAGGUACUAACUCAAAAAAGUUCUGGGACACUGUAAAGUCCAUGGAGAAUAAGAGCACCUCCUCCCAGCUGCCCACUGCUCUGAGGCUAGGAAACACUGUUACCACCGAUAAAUCCACUAUAAUUGAGAAUUUCAAUAAGCAUUUCUCUACGGCUGGCCAUGCUUUCCACCUGGCUACCCCUACUCCGGUCAACUGCCCUGCACCCUCCACAGCAACCCGCAAAUGCCCCCACCAUUUCUCCUUCACUCAAAUCCAGACAACUGAUGCUCUGAAAGAGCUGCAAAAUCUGGACCCCUACAAAUCAGCCCGGGCUAGACAAUCUGGACCCUCUCUUUCUAAAAUGAUGUGCCAAAAUUGUUGCAACCCCUAUUACUAGCCUGUUCAACCUCUCUUUCGUAUCGUAUGAGAUUCCCAAAGAUUGGAAAGCUGCCGCGGUCAUCCUCCUCUUCAAAGGGGGUGACACUCUAGACCCAAACUGCUACAGACCUAUAUCUAUCCUACACUGUCUUUCUAAGGUCUUCGAAAGCCAAGUUAACAAACAGAUUACCAACCAUUUCGAAUCCCACCUUACCUUCUCCGCUAUGCAAUCUGGUUUCAGAGCUGGUCAUGGGUGCACCUCAGCCACGCUCAAGGUCCUAAACAACAUCAUAACCACCAUCGAUGAGAGACAUUACUGUGCAGCCGUAUUCAUCGACCUGGCCAAGGCUUUCGACUCUGUCAAUCACCACAUUCUUAUCGGCAGACUUGACAGCCUUGGUUUCUCAAAUGAUCGCUUCGCCUGGUUUACCAACUACUUCUCUGAUAGAGUUCAGUGUGUCAAAUCGGAGGGCCUGUUGUCCGGACCUCUGGCAGUCUCUAUGGGGGUGCCACAGGGUUCAAUUCUCGGGCCGACUCUCUUCUCUGUAUGCAUCAAUGAUGUUGCUCUUGCUGCUGGUGAUUCUCUGAUCCACCUCUACACAGACGACACCAUUCUGUAUACUUCUGGCCCCUCCAGAUGAGCUUCAAUGCCAUACAACUCUCCUUCCGUGGCCUCCAACUGCUCUUAAACGCAAGUAAAACUAAAUGCAUGCUAUUCAGUCGAUCACUGCCCGCACCUGCUCGCUCGUCCAGCAUCACUACUCUGGACGGCUCUGACUUAGAAUGGACAACUACAAAUACCUGGGUGUCUGGUUAGACUGUAAACUCUCCUUCCAGACUUACAUUAAGCAUCUCCAAUCCAAAAUUAAAUCUAGAAUUGGCUUCCUAUAUCGCAACAAAGCAUCCUUCACUCAGCUGCCAAACAUAUCCUCGCAAAACUGACCAUCCUACCGAUCUUCGACUUCGGUGAUGUCAUCCAUAAAAUAGCCUCCAACACUCUAAUCACAGUGCCAUCCGUUUUGUCACCAAAGCCCCAUACACUACCUACCAUUGCAAACUGUACGCUCUCGUUGGUUGGCCCUCGCUUCAUACUCGUCACCAAACCCACUGGCUAUAGGUCAUCUACAAGUCUCUGCUAGGUAAAGCCCCGCCUUAUCUCAGCUCACUGGUCACCAUAGCAGCAUCCACUCGUAGCACGAGCUCCAGCAGGUAUAUCUCACUGGUCACCCCCAAAGCCAAUUCCUCCUUUGGUCAUCUUUCCUUCCAGUUCUCUGCUGCCAAUGACUGGAACGAACUGCAAAAAUCUCUGAAGCUGGAGACUCAUAUCUCCCUCACUAGCUUUAAGCACCAGCUGUCAGAGCAGCUCACAGAUCACUGCACCUGUACAUAGCCCAUCUGUAAACAGCCCAUCUAUGUACCUACCUCAUCCCCAUACUGUAUUUAUUUAUUUAUCUUGCUGCUUUGCACCCCAGUAUCUAUACUUGCACAUUCAUCUUCUGCACAUCUACCAUUCCCGUGUUUAAUUGCUAUAUUGUAAUUACUUUGCCACCAUGGCCUAUUUAUUGCCUUAACUUACCUCAUUUGCACUCAGUGUAUGUAGACUUUUUGUUUUCUUUUGUUCUACUGUAUUAUUGACUGUAUGUUUUGUUUAUUCCAUGUGUAACUCUGUGUUGUUGUAUGUGUCGAAUUGCUAUGCUUUAACUUGGCCAGGUCGCAGUUGCAAAUGAGAACUUGUUCUCAACUAGCCUACCUGGUUAAAUAAAUGUAGGCUAUAAAAAUAGUAUAAAAAUAAAAUAAAAUAGCACACAGCAAAUUGGCCAGUGUUAACUAGUGUUUAUUUUUCAGUGUAACAUUGAUAACGUUGAUUCAAGAGGUAAAUUAAUAGUCAGUGGUGUAAAGCAAUGGUGUCAAACUCAUUACAUGGAGGGCCUAGUGUCUGUCGGUUAACGUUUUUUUUCCUUUCAAUUAAGACCGAGACAACCAGGUGUGGGGAGUUCCUUAUUAAUUAGUGACCUUAGUUCAUCAAUCAAGUCCAAGGGAGGAGCGAAAACCCGCAGACACUCGGCACUCCGUGGAAUUAGUUUGACGCCUGUGGUGUAAAGGAACCCCAGUAGUGGUGUUAAUAACCAGAGUUGAACCAGGCCACUGCAUUAGAGUUAAACUAGGCCCUAAACAGAAAACCUUUUUAAAUAUGUAUUCAAUUGUCUUACAGUUGAAGUCGUAAGUUUACAUACACCUAGGUUGGAGUCAUUAAAACUCGUUUUUCA